rnacentral:sRNA from 2 species
AUUGCCACUCGUACACUGCGGCUCAUCUGCGCGGUCCACACACAACUGACACCGUCCGCCAAGGUUUUUAAGCC